UACGUAGGGCGCAAGCGUUGUCCGGAAUUAUUGGGCGUAAAGGGCUCGUAGGCGGCCAACUAAGUCAGACGUGAAAUCCCUCGGCUUAACCGGGGAACUGCGUCUGAUACUGGAUGGCUAGAGGUUGGGAGAGGGGUGCGGAAUUCCAGGUGUAGCGGUGAAAUGCGUAGAUAUCUGGAGGAACACCGGUGGCGAAGGCGGCAUCCUGGACCAAUUCUGACGCUGAGGAGCGAAAGCCAGGGGAGCAAACGGG
rnacentral:rRNA from 1 species